rnacentral:rRNA from 1 species
GACGAACGCUGGCGGCGUGCUUAACACAUGCAAGUCGAACGGUGAAGCUCCAGCUUGCUGGAGUGGAUCAGUGGCGAACGGGUGAGUAACACGUGAGCAACCUGCCCCUGACUCUGGAAUAAGCGCUGGAAACGGCGUCUAAUACUGGAUACGAGAAGGGUCCGCAUGGGCACUUUCUGGAAAGUUUUUCGGUUGGGGAUGGUGUCGCGGGCUAUCAGCUUGUUGGUGAGGUAAUGGCUCACCAAGGCGACGACGGGUAGCCGGCCUGAGAGGGCGACCGGCCACACUGGGACUGAGACACGGCCCAGACUCCUACGGGAGGCAGCAGUGGGGAAUAUUGCACAAUGGGCGAAAGCCUGAUGCAGCGACGCCGCGUGGGGGAUGACGGCUUUCGGGUUGUAAACCUCUUUCAGCAGGGAAGAAGCGAAAGUGACGGUACCUGCAGAAGAAGCACCGGCUAACUACGU